rnacentral:rRNA from 1 species
GGCUCAGAUGAAACGCUGGCGGCGUGCCUAAUACAUGCAAGUCGAACGAGGUGCUUUUGUAGCAAUACGAGAGUAUCCUAGUGGCGAACGGGUGAGUAACGCGUUGGUGACCUACCCCAAAGUGUGGGAUAACAGUCCGAAAGGAUUGCUAAUACCGCAUGUGGUCUUCGGAUUUAGAAACUGAUGACUAAAGGAGCAAUUCGCUUUGGGAGGGACCUGCGUCCCAUCAGCUAGUUGGUGAGGUAACGGCUCACCAAGGCGACGACGGGUAGGGGACCUGAGAGGGUGGCCCCCCACAAUGGAACUGAAACACGGUCCAUACACCUACGGGUGGCAGCAGUAGGGAAUAUUGCUCAAUGGGCGAAAGCCUGAAGCAGCAACGCCGCGUGUGCGAUGAAGGCCUUCGGGUCGUAAAGCACUUUUCUGGGAGAUGAGAAAGGACAGUAUCCCAGGAAUAAGUCUCGGCUAACUACGUGCCAGCAGCCGCGGUAAAACGUAGGAGGCAAGCGUUAUCCGGAUUCACUGGGCGUAAAGCGCGUGCAGGUGGCGCGGUAAGUUAGGCGUGAAAUCUCCCGGCUCAACUGGGAGAGGUCGUCUAAUACUACCGUGCUUGAGAGCAGAAGAGGAAGAUGGAAUUCCCGGUGUAGUGGUGAAAUGCGUAGAUAUCGGGAGGAACACCAGUGGCGAAGGCGAUCUUCUGGUCUGUUUCUGACACUCAUACGCGACAGCUAGGGUAGUAAACGGGAUUAGAGACCCCGGUAAUCCUAGCCGUAAACGAUGUGAACUUGGCGUUGGUGGGUUAAACUCCAUCAGUGCCGUAGCAAACGCGAUAAGUUCACCGCCUGGGGACUACGGCCGCAAGGUUAAAACUCA